rnacentral:lncRNA from 1 species
CUCCUGAGUAACUGGGACUACAGGUGCCCUACGCCCAGCUAGUGUUUUUUGUAUUUUUAGUAGAGACAGGGUUUCACCAUAUUGGCCAGACUGGUCUCAAACUCCUGACCUUGUGAUCUGCCCACCUCAGUCUCCCAAAGUACUGGGGUUACAGGUAUGAGCCACUGCACCUGGCCUCGUUGUGAUUUUAAUUUGCAUUUCUCUGAUGAUUAGUGAUGUUGAGCAUUUUUUUCAUGUUUGUUGGCCACUUGUAUGUCUUCUUUUGAAAAAUGUGUGUUCAUGUUUUUUGCUCACUUUUUAAUGGGGUUCUUUGGGGUUUUUUUCUUGUUAAGUUGUUUGAGUUUCUUGUAGAUUCUGCAUGUCAGCCCUUAGUUGGAUGCAUACUUUGGGAAUUUUUUUUUCCUCAUUCUGUAGGUUUACUCUCCUGAUUUUUUUCUUUUGCUGUGCAGAAUCUUUUUAAUUUAAUUUAAUUAAGUGCCAUUUCUCCAUUUUUAUUUUCAUUGUGCUUGGUUUUAAGGACUUGGUCAUAAAUUCUUUGCCUGGGCCAAUGUCCAGAAGAGUUUUUCCUAGGUUUCUUCUAGGAUUUUUAUAGUUUCAGGUCUUACGUUUAGGUCUUUAAUCCAUCCUGAGUUAAUUUUUGUAUAUGAUAAGAGGUAUGGGUUCAGUUUCAUUCUUCUACAACAUACAUCCAAUUUUCCCAGCACCAUUUAUUGAAUAGGGUGUCAUUUCCCCAGUGUACAUUUUUGUUGAAUUUGUUGAAAAUCAGUUGUAGAUAUGUGGCUUUAUUUUUGGCUUCUCUAUUCUAUUCCACUGAUCUAUGUGUCUAUUUUUAUACCAGUACCAUGUUGUUUUGGUUACUAUAGCUUUGUAGUGUAAUUUCAAGUCAGGUAACGUGACGCCUCUAGAUUUUUUCUUUUUGCUUAGGAUUGCUUUGGCUAUUCUGGCUUUUUUGGUUCCAUAUGAAUUUUAGGAUUGGGUUUUUUAAUUCUGUGAAAAAUAAUGUUGGUAAGUUUGAUAAGGAUUAUAUUGAAUCUGUAGAUUUCUCUGGGGAGAUGGUCAUUUUAACAAUGUUGAUUCUUCUAACCCAUGAGCAUGGGAUAUUUUUCCAUUUGUCUGUGUUGUCUAUGAUUACUUUCAUCGGUGUUUUGUAGUUCACCUCCUUGUUUAAAUAUAUUCCCAGCUGGGUUUUUUUUUUUUUUUUUCUGGUAGCUAUUAUAAAUGGGGUUGACUUUUUGAUUUGGUCCUCGGCUAGAUCAUUACUGUACUAGUGUACAGAAAAGCUACUGAUUUCUAUAUGUUAAUUUAGUAUCCUGAAACCUUACUGAAUUGAUUUAUCAAAUCUAAGAGUUUUUUGGUGGAGUCUUUAAGGUUUUCUAGAUAUAAGAUCAUAUCAUCAGUGAACAGGGAUAAUUUGACUUCCUCCUUUCCAAUUUGGAUGUCUUUUAUUAUUCUCUCUUGCCUGAUUGCUCUGGUGAGAACUUCCAGUGCCAUGUUGAAUAAGAGUCAUGAAAGUGGGCAUGCUUCUCUUGUUCCAGUUCUUAAGGGGAAUGUUUUCAACUUUUUCCUAUUAAGUAUGAUGUUGGCUGUAGGUUUGUCAUAUAUGGCCUUUAUUAUGUUGAAGUAUAUUCCUUCUGUGUCUCGUAUGUUGAAGACUUUUAUCAUGAAGAGAUGCUGAAUUUUACUGAAUGCUUUUUUCUGCAUCUAUUGAGACGAUCAUAUGUUUUUGUCCUUAAUUCUGUCUGCAUGAUGUAUCACAUUUCUUCAUUUGCACAUGUUGAAUCAUCCUUGCAUCCUUAGGAUAAAUCCCACCUGAUCACGGUAUAGUAUCUUUUUGAUGAGCUGCUGGAUUCAAUUUGCUAGUAUUUUGUUGAGAAUUUUUACAUAUAUUUUCAUCAGGGAUAUUGGCCUCUAGUUUUCUUUUUUGUUGUAUCCUUGUCUGGUUUUGGUAUCAGGGUUAUAACUAGCCUUGUAGAAUGAGGUGGGGAGAAUCCUCUCGUUUUUUUUUUUUGGAAUAGUUUCAGGAGGAUUGGUAUUAGUUCUUCUUUGUAUGGUUUUUUCCUUUUUCUUUUCUUUUUUUUUUUUUUUUUGAGAUGGAGUCUUGCUCUGUCACCCAGGCUGGAGUGCAGUGGCGCGAUCUUGGCUCACUGCAACCUCCGCCUCCCGGGUUCAAGGGAUUCUCCUGCCUCAGCCUCCCAAGUAGCUAGGACUACAGGUGGGUACCAUCACGCCCAGCUAAUUUUUUUUUUUUUUUGUAUUUUUAGUAGAGAUGGGGUUUCACAGUGUUAGCCAGGAUAGUCUCGAUCUCCUGACCUCGUGAUCCACACACCACGGCCUCCCAAAGUGCUGGGAUUACAGGCAUGAGCCACUGCACCUGGCCUCCUUUGUAUGUUUGAAAGAAUUUGCCUGUGACUGCAUCUGGUCCUGGGCUUUUUUUGUUGAGAGAUUUUUAUUACUGAUUCAAUUUCACUACUCAUCAUUGGUCUGUGCAGGGCUUCUAUUUCUUCAAUCUCAGGAGGUUGUGUCCCCAGGAGUUUAUCCAUUUCUUCCAGCUUUUCUAGUUUGUGAGCAUAUAGUUGUUAAUAAUAAUAGUCUCUGAUGAUCUUAUAUUUCCAUGAUCAGUUGUAAUGUCUCCUUUUUCAUUUCUGAUUGUGUUUAUUUUGAUCUUCUCUCUUCUUUUCUUGGUUAGUCUAGCUAGUGGUUUAUCAAUUUUGUUUAUCUUUUCAAAAAACCAACUUUUCAUUUCACUCAUCCUUUGUAUUGUUUUUUGGUCUCUAGUUCAUGUAGUUUUGCUCUGAUCUUUGUCGCUUAUUUUCUUGUAACUUUGAGUUUGGUUUGUUCUUAUUUUUCUAGUUCCUUCAAGUGUGAUGUUAGGUAACUUGUGACCUACUGUUUUGAUGUAGGCAUUUAGUGCUAUAAACUUCCCUCUUAGUACUGCUUUUGCAGUAUCUCACAGGUUUCACUAUGCUGUAUUUUCAUUUUCAUUCAAGGAAUUAUGCUUCAUUCUUCAUCGACCUUUUUAGUGAACACCCAGGAAGUUUUCCUGUGUGCUUGUAGUCUGCCUCCCUUUUUCCAAUUACAACACCUUGGUCUUUCUUUGGGCAAUAAGCUGGUGUUCUAGAGUAAGAUGGUAAGGAUGUGACCCAAUCCUGGCAAUCAC